AAACAUCUAUCUUGCUGUGUUUGGACAGGCCAGCCCCUGAAACAUCUUGGGCAAUGGAGGGUUAACUUCUCAAAGUUUAAUAGGCAAGACCAGCAACCAUGCAACAAGACUUCAACUAACCAACUAAAGAACUGUUCCCCAGAGCAUUGUUCCUGAGAAGGAAAAGAGUCCAAACACCUACCCACACCUGCUUUGUGCCAAGAAUCCACAGUUGGAUUGCAAGGACAGUCGUUCAAGACCCAGCUGUUGAGAGUAGAAAAGCAGAAGAAAGGACCCGAGGUCAGCAAGUGCCCUCCCCACAAUGGGGCAGAUCUGCCAGCGAGAAUCGCUACAGCAGCUGAAAAACCAAAACUUCAUCUACUUGCUGAAAGUGAGUGGUCCACAGACCGAGGCUUGCAGUGGAAGCAGCUGGAAGUGGUGCUGUGCGGUGUCCUCCCCAACUCCCAAAUGGAGUGUGGGGAGGGAUUCUUCGGGCACUGAUGUUUGGCUGGAGCAGUAAAGCAGCGGUGAUGUGGAGGCAGCACCUAAGAGAAGGGGACAGGAUUAUGGAGAUGUGAGUGUGUGUGUGUG
rnacentral:lncRNA from 10 species